GAUGAAGAACGUAGCGAAAUGCGAUAAGUAGUGUGAAUUGCAGAAUUCAGUGAAUCAUCGAAUCUUUGAACGCACAUUGCGCCCUCUGGUAUUCCGGGGGGCAUGCCUGUUCGAGCGUCAUUACAACCCUCAAGCUUUGCUUGGUAUUGGACAUUGCCAGUUUCUGGCAGGUCUUAAAAUCAGUGGCGGUGCCAUUUGGCUUCAAGCGUAGUAAUUCUUCUCGCUUUGGAGAUCCAAGUGGUUACUUGCCAAUAACCCCCAAUUUUUUCAGGUUGACCUCGGAUCAGGUAGGGAUACCCGCUGAACUUAAGCAUAUCAAUAAGCGGAGGA
rnacentral:misc_RNA from 1 species